UCCUUGGCCGAGCAAGCGGGGCCUUCCCCUCAUUCACUAGGAUCCUUCCUGAUUCAGGGGGCUGGCCAGAGGACCCUGCAGGCCUGACCCAGUGGGACCCUUUUCCCCAGCCUCCCACAAGACCUGGGCCAGGGGCCAUAGAGAGAAUUCUUCAGUCCCUGGCACCCUGAGAGCAUCUGUGUUGCACAACCCAGGGGCCUUAUGGCAAGGCCCACUCCUGCCCCUUCUAGCUGCAAAGCCUGGGAACAUGGUCCUGUGGUGGGCCUGCAGAUUGGAGGGAGGACCCCCAAUGAAGGUGAGGUCACCAAGCACCAGGGUUGUGUGAGUGCUGGGCCACGCCCCCCCCCCCCAAGAGCUGGAAAGGCCCAGGUGGCACGCACAGGAGCACCUCCCUCACUGGCUGCACUUGAGAGGACCCACAUAGGAGCUCGCCAACACCUGCCCUGCCUCCCUAGAGGUCUGACAUCCGCUUCCAGGGAAGACCUGAGACAGUGGGUCCCUGGAGCCAGCCCCGACUCCUGCUGCUGCACUGCCUGCUCACAACAUGGGCCCUAACGUGGAGCUGGGGG
rnacentral:lncRNA from 1 species